rnacentral:rRNA from 1 species
AUACGGAGGGUGCAAGCGUUGUUCGGAAUCACUGGGCGUAAAGGGCGCGCAGGCGGUUUGUUAAGUCAGAUGUGAAAGCCCACGGCUCAACCGUGGAAGUGCAUUUGAAACUGGCAGACUUGAGUACAGAGGGGGAAGUGGAAUUCCCGGUGUAGAGGUGAAAUUCGUAGAUAUCGGGAGGAAUACCGGUGGCGAAGGCGACUUCCUGGCUGGAUACUGACGCUGAGGCGCGAAAGCGUGGGGAGCAAACAGGAUUAGAAACCCUUGUAGUCC